rnacentral:lncRNA from 1 species
AUGAAACAAGAGGGUCAUGAACUAGUGCAUGUGCUGAAAAUGGUUUGCCAAGGGACCAUGAAGACAAGGCCUUGUGUCAGAAGACUUCCAAAGCAAAUUGGAUUUUCCACACAGCAAUGGCUGCAUUUGACAGUCUGUCAGUGGCCUGUAAAAUUCUCCACCAAUGAUAACAAGACCGAAUUGCCAAGCACUGAAGCAAUGCCACAAGCAUUACAGAACAAAUCACUCCCCUUUCAGUACAUAAUAGCUUCUUGAUCAUCAGUCAAAGAAGGAAUUAUCCGAACCAGCAAACAGGCUGGAGGAGGCUGCUCCCUCUCAGCUAGGAGGUUAUCCCAGAGCUCCUGCGUUAAAGCCACUGCUGAGAGUCUGGGUGUUUCUGAGAAUGUCAGUCCGGGCCAAGUGGUUGGUUGGUGGAUUUUUAGGUUUGGUGCCCCAAAAAAGGAACAAGCAACUGCAUGUAAAGACUUGUAUUCCUGAGCACUCUUAAGGUGUCACCUGCCCCUGCUUGUGACCAACCCCGGGAUGAGUCCUGCUCAGCCACAUCCUGUUCAGAAGGAAAUGUGGACCGCCAGCAAGCGUGGUGGGGUGUCCACGUGGACAAGUUGGCGAUCUGAACAAGACUGCUCUCCUGAUACUGGCACUGGGUCUAUGUCUGGGUUUUUCAGUCUGGGUUCUAUGAAUUUUAGGUGCAAGGUACCACUUUAUCUUCCUUCUCUUCAGCAUACGGAGAGAUAGGGUCACUUUUGUAGUUAGAUACUGAUCUGACGGUGGGGGAGGAGGGGAGGAAGACAUGAGAUGGUCCUGUUACAGAAAAGGUUUGGGUACGGAAGAGGUUGAAUUUGUUUCUUCUUGGUCUAUGGGAAGAAGACUCUUGGAAGUCUUCUCUCCCUAACUUCUAGUUUUCUGUGCCUGUUCUCUGCGGAGACAUGAGUUGUAUAUCAUCUGCCGAGAGGGAAAUUCUGCAGGUUGUGUGCUGAUCCAUAAACAGAAUUUUUUCACCUUCUGCAUUGUGUCCCUUGAGGAGAAACGCUUUAAUCAUGAUAUUCUUCGACCUGUCUUACAUGUAUUUAUAUAAGGGUUACAUAUAACAAGCAUUUCUGACAGACUGCUAAAAUCAUUGAGGCAGAAUAACUUCUAGCAUAGCUCCACUGGCUGCGCUGGUGUUGCAGGAAAGAUGAGUUGGCUCAUUACAUAGCAUCCCUUAAUUAAAAUGGCUUGCUAGGCAUCUUGAUUUGGAGCGGAAGGUCGUGGGUUCAAACUUGAAUGUAUGCGCAGUGAUAACAGAUAGGGGAAGUGCCAGCUGUGAUGGCAGUAUAUUUUAAUGAUGAGGUCAUUUGUGAUGUCUGUUAAGAUGACUUCUGUCCUAAGCUUGUGUCUUCUGAAAUGGCGGCUAAAGGCCUUAAGAAAGACUUUCUAGAAAACAGUCAUAAUCCCAGUGGCCUGGUAAGCGUUCUAGCUGUUUUUAUUAAGGACUUUUAUGUGAUAGAGAAGGUAUGCUGUGGCUGUAUUGAGUUUUCAGAGCAGAUAAUGCCAUCAGACCUGAUAUUUGAGACUUGUGCCCUCCCUGAAACCUUAUGAAAAGAUAAUUUAACAUCACAUUAAUUUUCAUUAUUUAACAUCAGGUUCCUUUUAAAGCCUGGCGUCAUAAAAGCACUUUUUGAGCCCUAGCAGGACUCAAGUUGUCCUGAAAUGAGGUGGCUGUAGGUCUCCACUUGAGGUCCCUGGGGACUGGGAGGAGCUGGAGCACCUAGGGGACCUGGACUGUAGCCCCCUGCCUGCCAGCCUCUUAGCCUCAGUUUCUUCCUGUAUACAGGGGUGCAGUGAAGCCUUGUGAAGAUGAAGAAGGUAACAAGCCUUGAACAGUUGCUAUAUUGAUUUGCUUCUUUGGAUUUCCUAAUGGCCCAAGGGCAUUUGAGGGCUGAUGUGUUUGUUGCUAUUAUUCCACCACAUGUAUGGAACAUUUCUUUGUGAAAGCAGAAAAUAAAUGUUCUUCCUUGGUCA